CAAAAAGUUCAUAUCCUGUCUCAAAUACUUAAACAACUUUUCCAUCUAACCAAACUUCCUUCCAACAUCUUACAGUUGUUUAUCCUUUUUUAUUAGAUUUCAUUUUUGUCUAGUUUUCUGCAUUUUUUUAACCAAAACAUUUUUCUGCAACCUGAAGCACAAUCAAAAGAAGAAAAUAAAAUAACAUAAUUUAUUUCAUAAAAAUUAUAUAAAAAUAAAAUAAAAUCAUACACGUUAUUGUUAAGAAACUACAAAAGCCCCUCCUUCACUACUACUUUUUGCAACAGCUGUUGGAACCUUUCACUAUUAAUACCAACUCAACUUAAAUCAAUGGAGCAAAAUGCUAUGAUGAGUUUGAUUUAAAUACAGCUUCAUUCUAACCGUUGAAGAUGAAGUUUGUUCAUUCAGCGGCAUCUCCAUCAUGCAAUUUGAUUGGUCUUUCGUCUGAGAUAUUUUUUCCCGUUUCAACGACCGUAAUUUCUUUGGUUAAAUGCAUAUGCAUUCGAACAGAACCUACAAAUAGUGCUCAAGAAGCAAUGCAACCUUUGACAUCAUAAUCUUUAUUUACUUUGAUUUCUUCAUGGUAAGUGAACCUCAGUUUGUGAUGGAUAUUAAUAGGUGCAUUGGGAUACAGAGCAAAAUAGUGGGCAAUGGCAUGUUAUCAAACUUUAGUGAUCAUAAUUCACAAAUGUUUCUUGAAGCAGGAGUUAAUGGCAACACUCAGAAACCUUUGACUAUUUUGAGUUUAAAUAUUAAAUAAAUUAUGAAAUGUAUGGGAUGAAAAUUAAAGUAGUUUAUCUACAAUAUUUUGAAAAAUAAUAUCUACAGAGAACAGUGUGAUGAAAGGACGCAAACUCAUCGUCAGUGAAUAAAAGGGCUAAUGUUACUGAAAUGACGGAAUCUAGUCUCUCGUCAAUUCUUUAACCAUUACCAAAAACUGUGACUGGACCUACAUCAUCGCCGCAGCAAGACAUAAUACUUUCUAAUCCUCCUCAAAGUCACAUUAUCGCAAUACUAAUGGAUGAUAUUGGAUUCACCUAAGGCUAAAUUUCUAUCUCCUAGUUAUAUGUUCACAUGUACUGACUUCACGUGUACUAAGGAAUGAUUUAUACAAAAUAAUUUUCUUAAAUAUGUAAGGAAUGAUUGUUUCAAGUAACUUGCUUAAAUGUGUACU